rnacentral:rRNA from 1 species
CCUACGGGCGGCAGCAGUGAGGAAUAUUGGUCAAUGGGCGCGAGCCUGAACCAGCCAAGUAGCGUGAAGGAUGACUGCCCUACGGGUUGUAAACUUCUUUAGGCGGGGAGCAAUGCCGGGCACGUGUGCCCGGAGGGAGAGUACCCGCAGAAUAAGCAUCGGCUAACUCCGUGCCAGCAGCCGCGGUAAUACGGAGGAUGCGAGCGUUAUCCGGAUUAAGUGGGUUUAAAGGGUGCGUAGGCGGAUUUUUAAGUCAGCGGUAAAAGGUCCGGGCUCAACCCGGGCCGGCCGUUGAAACUGGGGAUCUUGAGUGGGCGAGAAGUAUGCGGAAUGCGUGGUGUAGCGGUGAAAUGCAUAGAUAUCACGCAGAACUCCGAUUGCGAAGGCAGCAUACCGGCGCCCGACUGACGCUGAGGCACGAAAGCGUGGGGAUCGAACAGGAUUAGAUACCCGAGUAGUC